rnacentral:rRNA from 1 species
UACACUCCUGCGGGAGGCAGCAGUGGGGAAUAUUGCACAAUGGGCGCAAGCCUGAUGCAGCCAUGCCGCGUGUAUGAAGAAGGCCUUCGGGUUGUAAAGUACUUUCAGCGGGGAGGAAGGCGAUAAGGUUAAUAACCUUGUUGAUUGACGUUACCCGCAGAAGAAGCACCGGCUAACUCCGUGCCAGCAGCCGCGGUAAUACGGAGGGUGCAAGCGUUAAUCGGAAUUACUGGGCGUAAAGCGCACGCAGGCGGUCUGUCAAGUCGGAUGUGAAAUCCCCGGGCUCAACCUGGGAACUGCAUCCGAAACUGGCAGGCUAGAGUCUUGUAGAGGGGGGUAGAAUUCCAGGUGUAGCGGUGAAAUGCGUAGAGAUCUGGAGGAAUACCGGUGGCGAAGGCGGCCCCCUGGACAAAGACUGACGCUCAGGUGCGAAAGCGUGGGGAGCAAACAGGAUUAGAUACCCCGGUAGUCCCAUGAU